UCUCCAGACUCCUACGGGAGGCAGCAGUGAGGAAUAUUGGUCAAUGGCCGAGAGGCUGAACCAGCCAAGUCGCGUGAGGGAAGACGGCCCUACGGGUUGUAAACCUCUUUUGUCGGGGAGCAAAGCGAACCACGUGUGGUUCAUUGAGAGUACCCGAAGAAAAAGCAUCGGCUAACUCCGUGCCAGCAGCCGCGGUAAUACGGAGGAUGCGAGCGUUAUCCGGAUUUAUUGGGUUUAAAGGGAGCGUAGGCCGGUCUUUAGGCGUGCCGUGAAAUUUUGUGGCUCAACCAUGAGAGUGCGGCGCGAACUGGAGACCUUGAGUGCGCGGAAGGCAGGCGGAAUUCGUGGUGUAGCGGUGAAAUGCUUAGAUAUCACGAAGAACUCCGAUUGCGAAGGCAGCUUACUAAACUGCCACUGACAUUGAUGCUCGAAAGUGUGGGUAUCAAACAGGAUUAGAUACCCCCGUA
rnacentral:rRNA from 1 species